rnacentral:rRNA from 1 species
UGGGCGAAUUGAAUUUAGCGGCCGCGAAUUCGCCCUUAGAGUUUGAUCAUGGCUCAGGAUGAACGCUAGCGGUUUGCCUGACACAUGCAAGUUGCACGGCGCCAUGCCUCUCGAGGAAUGGCGGAGUGGCGGACGGGUGAGGAACGCGUAAGGACCUGCCCCUGGGAGGGGGAUAACAGCUGGAAACGGCUGCUAAUACCCCAUAUCCUGAGGAGGGAAAGGAGAGAUCCGCCCAGGGAGGGGCUUGCGUCUGAUUAGCUAGUUGGGGGGGUAAUGGCCUCCCAAGGCAACGAUCAGUUGCUGGUCUGAGAGGAUGAUCAGCCACACUGGGACUGAGACACGGCCCAGACUCCUACGGGAGGCAGCAGUGAGGAAUCUUCCGCAAUGGGCGAAAGCCUGACGGGGCAAUGCCGCGUGGAGGAUGAAGGCCCAAUGGGUCGUAAACUUCUUUAGAUCAGAGACGAAGAGAUGACGGUACCUGAAGAACUAAGCAUCGGCUAAACCCCGUGCCAGCAGCCGCGGUAAGACGGGGGAUGCGAGCGUUAUCCGGAAUGAUUGGGCGUAAAGGGUCCGCAGGUGGCCCGGUCAGUCCGCUGUCAAAACCUGGGGCUCAACCCUGGAGAGGCGGCGGAGACCACCGGGCUUGAGUCCGGUAGGGGCAGAGGGAAUUCCCGGUGGAGCGGUGAAAUGCGUAGAGAUCGGGAAGAACGCCAAGGGCGAAGGCACUCUGCUAGGCCUGAUUUCGCGACUGACACUCAGGGACGAGAGCCAGGGGAGCGAAUGGGAUUAGAUACCCCAGUAGUCCUGGCCGUAAACGAUGGAUACCAAGCCCUGCGCGUAUCGACCCGGGCAGGGCUGUAGCUAACGCA